UGUCCUAGCGGCGAGCGGGUGAGUAACACGUGAGGAACCUGCCCCGAAGACCGGGAUAACACCGGGAAACCGGUGCUAAUACCGGAUGCCCUCACCGGAUCGCAUGGUCCGGCGAGGAAAUGGAUUCCGCUUCGGGAUGGUCUCGCGGCCUAUCAGCUUGUUGGUGGGGUAACGGCCUACCAAGGCGACGACCGGGUAGCUGGUCUGAGAGGAUGUCCAGCCACACUGGGACUGAGACACGGCCCAGACUCCUACGGGAGGCAGCAGUGGGGAAUCUUGCGCAAUGGGCGAAAGCCUGAACCGCAGCGACGCCGCGUGCGGGAUGAAGGCCUUCGGGUUGUAAACCGCUUUCAGCGGGGACGAUUGUGACGGUACCUGCAGAAGAAGCCCCGGCCAACUACGUGCCAGCAGCCGC
rnacentral:rRNA from 1 species